CAGGACGAACGCUGGCGGCGUGCUUAACACAUGCAAGUCGAACGGGAAACCAUUUAUUGAAGCUUCGGCAGAUUUAGCUGGUUUCUAGUGGCGGACGGGUGAGUAACGCGUGGGUAACCUGCCUUAUACAGGGGGAUAACAGUCAGAAAUGACUGCUAAUACCGCAUAAGCGCACAGGACCGCAUGGUCUGGUGUGAAAAACUCCGGUGGUAUAAGAUGGACCCGCGUUGGAUUAGCUUGUUGGUGAGGUAACGGCUCACCAAGGCGACGAUCCAUAGCCGGCCUGAGAGGGUGAACGGCCACAUUGGGACUGAGACACGGCCCAGACUCCUACGGGAGGCAGCAGUAGG
rnacentral:rRNA from 1 species